rnacentral:rRNA from 1 species
UACAGGGGGGGCAAGCGUUGUUCGGAAUUACUGGGCGUAAAGGGCUCGUAGGCGGCCAACUAAGUCGGAUGUGAAAUCCCCAGGCUCAACCUGGGAACUGCAUCCGAUACUGGAUGGCUUGAAUCCGGGAGAGGGAUGCAGAAUUCCAGGUGUAGCGGUGAAAUGCGUAGAUAUCUGGAGGAAUACCGGUGGCGAAGGCGGCAUCCUGGACCGGCAUUGACGCUGAGGAGCGAAAGCCAGGGGAGCAAACGGG